ACAAGCAUCGCCAUGUCCGGAUCCCGUUGUGUAUGUAUGCUGCAAUCAGUGUCGAAGUCUCGACGAAAGUAAUCCGAAAUCUGCCAGAAAGUAUGCAAACUAAUGCGUAGAAUUUACAGUGCAACACAGUGGCGGUUUGAUUAUAGACUUAAUGAAUUUCAUCGUUGGGUUGCCAGUGAAAUGUUUCGGUUCUGCACAUUGGAGAGACUUCAUCGAUCCGGAUAUUUUGGCGAAAAAUGAUGACGAAUUUACUAUGACGAAUUUACUAUGAUGACGAAUUUACUAUGACGAAUUUACUAUGAUAAUUUAUGAAUUUACUAUGACAGCGAUCUACCGGAAGGCGAUAUUCUCGGUCUGCAGACGCUGCAACUGGAACACGAAGCAGCCAACGCCGUCAACGAAGCGGCUCGUUCUGGCCUAACAACACAAUCCCUUACGAAUUCUCCAAAAAACAAAAUGCUUUAAUGAGUGAGGAACCGCUAGGAAGUUUCAGUGUUGUUUCAAAUAGGAAAGCUGCAUAAACUGCCUUGCAUCGUUGCUGUUGUCAAGCGGUCAUUAACUAAAUCGUUUCCAGCACCAAAAGAAAUGCAGAUUAUUCUGGAGUCUAUGCGCAUAAUCAGUCACCUUUCCGGUAACUGUGUCCAGUUCGUGGAACGCACCAGUGAAGAAGAUUACAUCAGCUUCCAAAAAGGACUGCAAUGCAUGUCGAUUAUCGGUCGCGUUGGUGGAAGACAAACGGUAGUGUACUCACCCGCCUGUCUGAAGCAGCACGGCAAUGUCCAGCACGAACUGAUGCACGUCAUGGGCUUCUUUCACGAACAUUCCCGAGCAGACAGAGACGAACAUGUAAAGAUCAUCUGGGAUAAUAUUGCCAAAAGCGACCGGGAUCAGUUUGUUAUACACGAGGACGGAAACACUUACGGAUUGCCGUAUGACUACGAAUCAGUCAUGCACUGUAAGCACAACGCCUUCGCGAAAGACAGCAGUAUCCCCACUAUUCUCCCCACACAGAGAAAGGCGAAGAUUGGACAGAAUCGAGAUCUGAGUAUUCUGGAUGUUGUCAGGAUACACAGACGGUUUCGGUGUGCUAUCGGAGAUCCGAAGAGCUUUGCAGAAUGGACCCAAAUUGUCCAUAGGGAAUCCCCGGAGUCGUGGCGAUAUUGCGCACCGUGAUGGACAUACUGCGCUCCUUCUUCAGAUCACCGAUCAAUGCCGCCGCUAAGGUAUAGUAGAACGGCGUCGAUGCGGUAUCGAUCACGAUGUAUACCGACGUCCAUGCGUAUUUGUUGAGGAGCGCCACGUAUAACUGCGAGCACUGUGAUAUGGAAAAGUAGUUGGUGGCGAUCCAGGUGGGAUACAGUUGGCGAUUGCGGAUUUGUGGACUGACCGACAUCCUAAGAUGAGUUACUGCACAAGAAUCGUUCUAAUUUGACAAAUAAGUUAUUUUCUAUAGAAAUUUAGUUAAUUUAGUAAAUUAUUUAUCUGUAAUGAUACUAAAAAAUUAUAAUACAACCGCAGGUAUCGUAGUACAGAAGUGUCUGUUUUACUGCUUGGUAGGUAAAGAGCCGCGCUAUUCCGCAAAUCUUGGUUUUCGCAUUUAUGUUAGUCACUAAUACGACAUAUGAUCGUUUUCUAACGAGUAAAUGGUGUUCUCACGUGGAAAUCCACAAGUUGUUCCACUGGGAUUGAAAAUACGGCAUUUCCGUCGUUUCGACGCAGGCUACAAAAUAAAAAGCGAUUUUUCAAUGAAAUCUUACCAUGAGAAAACCCAAGAAAUACGGCAAAUGGUGACUCGCCAUUUUGCCGACUCGUCACUACGUCGAACCAACACAAAGUUGAUCCAGUGUUUGCAAAACUGAGGUGAGCCCGACAACGUACCGGGUAUGAUGUAGACGGUUAGAUCGCUCGGCUUGCGCUGCCGAUAAUGUAAUUCCGAGACCAGCCUGACGGCAUUAUCACUCAAAUCCGCGCAUGUCCAUCCCGGAUCGGGAAAAAUGGUCAGAUUGAAGCGCAUGGUUGUGUUGUACUUGCGGGAAACAUAUUCCGUGGCCACGGAUAAAGCAGGCCCCAGAUACACCACCGAGCCAAACCCGAAGGGCGCCCUGUAACAAACGGCCACCAAGCUGACGUUCAACAGGCCGGGCACGCUCGUGAACAUCAUACCACAGAUGAAAACAACCGCUAAACACGGCCUACGACCAUCCAUUGUUGUCAGCGCAGAAACACUGAUCGCUGCCAUCAUUUCAGGUCAUUUUUUAAAUAAGUUGAGCCACUGUUAGUCAAAAUCUUAAGGAGACUACUUGAUCGUCUUCUUGCUGUGAUGGCUGUGAUACACACCAUAAGACUACAAACGGUGUAAUAUCGAUCUUCCCGCUCACUCUCGGUAAAUUAAAGGUAAUGGGAACAUGAUCCAGCUGUUUACUGCAUUCCAGUUUUCCACGCAGUCUUUCAUUACAGAUUACUGAUUGCUGUGGUAGUCUGCUGGGCGACUGCGGCACAAUCAUGUUGGUACAUCUAAAAAUAUGGGAUACACCAUCGGGUCACACCUUUUAAUUUAACGUAAUUACUGCCGUGUAGCUGACGUACACGCAGCCUCAGCCUUGGCAUUCCCGUUUGGGACAGCGCUUAAAUAAUGCUCAACUGGAUGACCUUACGCCAGCGCCGAUUGUGGCUGCGAUUCAACGGAUGUAGCGUUAAUUAUGCACUGCCGUAAUAAUCAGUAACGUGUCGGAGUCCAUCACGCACCCCUUUUUUUAAAAAGGCUGCGUGAUGGACUUGCCAAAUAGACUGUUGGUUGAUGUUCUCGAUGCCGGAGAGCUGGAAAGAAUGUCAAAAUCUGCGGUUGUUCGGAUAUUUUGGCCAAAUGCAAAAAAAAUGUCAUGAAACUAAUUAUUGACUUGUGGUGUAGAUUCGUCCAUAACGUCAUGUGCCUUUUACAGCAAGGUUUCAAGCAUAUGGGCGUUCCACCGCUUCCACGUUAAAUUCACUGGUUAAAAAGUCAAAGACUUGAGGAACAUCCGGGCCCGCGAUUACCUUGUUGAAGUUACUCUGUUGCCACUCCUUUCAUACCUGGAUACGCGACUACGGUGUACCAUCAGUCAUGCGUGGUAUCAUGGUAGCGCUUUGGCCGAUCUGCAGAAAAUUACUGCUAAAAUGUCGCAUCCUUUCGAGCAUCGUUUGGUAUAUCGUCACCGCCCUGGCGAAUGUCAUGCUUUGCUUGAAUUAAUUAGCGUGAUAGUCGUUACCGCAGCCAGCACAGUCGCACGACUGGUUGCUGACGUCAACAGCAGAGAACGUAUUCUCCCAGGCCAGACCAGCAUUAUUAUGUAGUUCAGCAUGUUACAGAUU